UACGUAGGUGGCAAGCGUUGUCCGGAAUUACUGGGUGUAAAGGGAGCGUAGGCGGGACAGCAAGUCCAGUGUGAAAUCUAUCGGCUCAACCGAUAGCUGCGCUGGAAACUGUGGUUCUUGAGUGAAGUAGAGGCAGGCGGAAUUCCUAGUGUAGCGGUGAAAUGCGUAGAUAUUAGGAGGAACACCAGUGGCGAAGGCGGCCUGCUGGACUUUUACUGACGCUGAGGCUCGAAAGUGUGGGUAGCAAACAGG
rnacentral:rRNA from 2 species